AGAUAAGAUCGAUCGAUCGCGGAGCGAGAGAGAGAGAAAAAAAAUCUUCUCGUCGGUAGGGUUUCGGGGGCUGCGAUGGCGAUGGAGGCGCGGAUGAAGGGGACGGUCAAGUGGUUCAACGACACCAAGGGGUUCGGCUUCAUCUCCCCCGACGACGGCAGCGAGGACCUCUUCGUGCACCAGUCCUCCAUCAAGGCCGACGGCUUCCGCUCGCUGGCCGAGGGCGAGGUGGUCGAGUUCGCCGUCUCGGAGGGCGACGACGGCCGCACCAAGGCCGUCGACGUCACCGGCCCCGACGGAUCCUUCGUGCAGGGCGGCGCGGGCGGCGGCGGGGGCGGCUUCGGAUCCCGCGGCGGCGGCGGAUCUCGCGGCGGCGGGGGCUUCGGCGGCCGCGGCGGGGACGGAUCUGGCGGGUACGGAGGUGGGUAUGGCGGUGGUGGCAGCGGCGGCUGGGGCGGCCAGAGGAGAUCCGGCGGUGGAGGCGCCGGUGGGGCCUGCUUCAAGUGCGGGGAGCCUGGCCACAUGGCCAGGGACUGCUCGGUCAACGGCCCCGCUGGUGGCGGCGGCGGCGGCGGCUGCUACAACUGCGGCGAGCCGGGCCACAUCGCGAGGGACUGCCCCACCAGCAGCGGCUUUGGCGGGGGCGGCGGCGGGAGGUUCGGCGGAGGAGGCGGCGGCGGCGGCGACCGCACCUGCUACCACUGCGGCGAGACCGGCCACAUCUCCCGCGACUGCACCAAGUGAGGGGAUAUCUCUGCCCCUCCCCCUCUAUAGAUUGCGCCUAAAUACCUCUCGUCUUAGUUUUGCCGAUCGAUCGAUCUGGGCCUGAGCGCCCAGCCGCAGCCGCCUCGCUUAUUUUAUCUUCCUCCCCCCUUCCGUUCUCGGAAUCCGUCCUAGGGGAAAGUCAGUCAGUCAGUCAGUCCGUGUGAUGGUUAAUUUUGCUAUGAAUUGGUCCUCUGGUACCCGUACCCGUACUCUCAGUUGAUGUCUAAGGUCGUGAUGAUGAUGGAUUAUUGGUGAUUUUUGUGUGGUGAUGAUGAGGAGAUUGCAACACAUCUCUGUUUUUUGGUUUCAUCGAUGAAGUAAAAGAUGCCGGUCGUUAUUAUCAUCCUCCAUGAGUGAAUGAAUGAAUUCUCUCUUGUCAGAUCAGAUCUCUG
rnacentral:rRNA from 1 species